GCGGCGCUGUGAGGAGUUAUUGUGCCCGCGCCGGGCAGGGCAGCGCGGCGGGGCGCGGCCGGACCCCCACGCCCGGCCCCCUCUGCGGCUGCCGCCGCGCCCGAGCGGCCCUUUCCGCCGCCUCCCCCGCUCCCGCGGUCGGGCUCGUCUUGGGCUGCCUGCCGGGCCCCCGGCGCCGCGCAAGAUGGUGCCCGCAGAACCAGCGAGGCGGCGACGUGGGCUCGGUGUCCCCGGAGAGCGGGGCUGCUCCGCGGGGACGGCGCCGUCCCGGGUGCCCGAGGUGAAGCUCUCCCUCGCUGCCGAGCCGCCACUGGGUUUCGUUUCCCCCUUCUGAAAAGUGAGGGCAUUCGGGUUAUCACUUGAAAUAACGAAGAUUUAUGGAAAACGGCUCUGAACGCGGUUCACGCGGGCCCGGGAUUUCACCCGAGCGGCGGUGGCCUGAGCACGACGGCGCUGCCGGGAUCUCACACAACCCAGUGCUUGGAGGAGCCGUGCCGGGUUACCGCUCCGCAGCUCCAGGUUGUCCUAAAUCUUCACGUUAGGGCCGGGUCCCUCGACCUCCCGUGUCUCCAGCCGGCAUAGCCCUGAGGGACAUCUGCGCUCGGCUGAGCAGGGACAAGGCCGGACUCUCUGUUCACCCUGUUUGGUAGCUGCUUCUCCCUGAGAAAGGCUGAAAAUCCUCCCUUGCCCAACAGCAGUUUAUAGGGUGGCUGGAACAGCGUAACGACCGUCUUUCCAUCCAACCCGGUCAUUACUACUGCGCCAUAAACGAAGCAAGGAAGAGACCUGUGUUGGUCUACAUACGAUUCCAAUCGUGGAACGAAUCAGCUGUUGAAAGACAUUACUACGGCCAAGCUGAAGAGUGAAUGAUGGGACUGGAACCGAGCAAACGCUUCUGCAUUCUGGACAGGACUCCAGCAGUGAAGACGUAUAGAUGGCUGAAGUCAGGCAUAGCAAAGGUAAUGACAGCAGAGCUGGAAGCAGAACCAAGGUGCCCCAAGUGCUUCAAAGAUCCGUUUUAGAGGAAAUCAUGUUCUUCAUCCCAGCCAUCAGAAGAUCACAAAGGAUCCAAACAGCAGGGAAGGGAGAUGCUUUGUAUUUCUGGAUAUCGAAUCAAACCAUAUCAGCUACUGCAUGAAGCAAAACAGCUGUGUGUACAACAGUAUUCUGUCUAGCACAACAUUUCCCAGCCUGUGAGCCUGGCCCACAAGAGGAUCGGGCUUCCUCCCUUGGGGAGAGGCACCGUAGUUUCUGGAGGAUCUCUGGAGGAUGAGAAAACAGCAGUGGCGUGGAGUUCCUCGCUUUCUUUUGACUUACCUCCACUGUUUUAGGAGGAACAGCUGGGGACACCAGCAGGCACUGGGCAGAAAGAGUGGACAGACUUGGGCUUCUACUGCAGGAAAAGCUCCUUUGGAGAGAGAAAUGGGCACUUGAAUCCUUGAGUGUACUGGCCUUUCUGCAGCCAUCUUCACACGGCAGUGUAUGAUGCCUGCUUUGCUUUUGCCUAUAGUCUUUGCCUCCCAGCAUUACUUCCAGAUUUCCUCAUUUUGAUACAUUGGUUCUUAAAUUAAAUCUCCUCAGACACGGACUCCCAGUCUUCCCAGCUGAACUUUCACUGAUUUCUGCUCAUGUUUAUCAUUUUCAGCUACUGUUUAUGUUUCUACCCUGAAUACUGUUUUCCAUCUCUCCCAAUUUAAUACUAUCUGUAAAUGCCACUAAUGUGCUCUUUAUUUCCUCUUCCAGAUCUUUAACCAAGAUUUUAAAUUAAAGGUAGUCUUGGCACAGA